rnacentral:rRNA from 1 species
GUCUACAGCCAUGUCACCCUGAAUAAGCCCGAUGUCUGAUCUUGGAAGCUAAGCAGGGUCGGGCCUGGUUAGUACUUGAAUGGAAGACCACCUAGGAAGGCCAGGUGCUUGUAGGCA